rnacentral:rRNA from 1 species
CGGGACACGUGGUAUCCUGUCUGAAUAUGGGGGGACCAUCCUCCAAGGCUAAAUACUCCUGACUGACCGAUAGUGAACCAGUACCGUGAGGGAAAGGCGAAAAGAACCCCGGCGAGGGGAGUGAAAAAGAACCUGAAACCGUGUACGUACAAGCAGUGGGAGCACGCUUAGGCGUGUGACUGCGUACCUUUUGUAUAAUGGGUCAGCGACUUAUAUUCUGUAGCAAGGUUAACCGAAUAGGGGAGCCGAAGGGAAACCGAGUCUUAACUGGGCGUUAAGUUGCAGGGUAUAGACCCGAAACCCGGUGAUCUAGCCAUGGGCAGGUUGAAGGUUGGGUAACACUAACUGGAGGACCGAACCGACUAAUGUUGAAAAAUUAGCGGAUGACUUGUGGCUGGGGGUGAAAGGCCAAUCAAACCGGGAGAUAGCUGGUUCUCCCCGAAAGCUAUUUAGGUAGCGCCUCGUGAAUUCAUCUCCGGGGGUAGAGCACUGUUUCGGCAAGGGGGUCAUCCCGACUUACCAACCCGAUGCAAACUGCGAAUACCGGAGAAUGUUAUCACGGGAGACACACGGCGGGUGCUAACGUCCGUCGUGAAGAGGGAAACAACCCAGACCGCCAGCUAAGGUCCCAAAGUCAUGGUUAAGUGGGAAACGAUGUGGGAAGGCCCAGACAGCCAGGAUGUUGGCUUAGAAGCAGCCAUCAUUUAAAGAAAGCGUAAUAGCUCACUGGUCGAGUCGGCCUGCGCGGAAGAUGUAACGGGGCUAAACCAUGCACCGAAGCUGCGGCAGCGACGCUGAUGCGUUGUUGGGUAGGGGAGCGUUCUGUAAGCCUGUGAAGGUGUGCUGUGAGGCAUGCUGGAGGUAUCAGAAGUGCGAAUGCUGACAUAAGUAACGAUAAAGCGGGUGAAAAGCCCGCUCGCCGGAAGACCAAGGGUUCCUGUCCAACGUUAAUCGGGGCAGGGUGAGUCGACCCCUAAGGCGAGGCCGAAAGGCGUAGUCGAUGGGAAACAGGUUAAUAUUCCUGUACUUGGUGUUACUGCGAAGGGGGGACGGAGAAGGCUAUGUUGGCCGGGCGACGGUUGUCCCGGUUUAAGCGUGUAGGCUGGUUUUCCAGGCAAAUCCGGAAAAUCAAGGCUGAGGCGUGAUGACGAGGCACUACGGUGCUGAA